UAUAUAUAUAUAUAUAUAUAGUGUGUGUGUGUGUGUGUGUGUGUGUGUGUAUAUAUAUAUAUACACACAUAUACAUACACACACACACACACACACAUAUAUAUACACUAG